AACGAACGCUGGCGGCAUGCCUAACACAUGCAAGUCGAACGAGACCUUCGGGUCUAGUGGCGCACGGGUGCGUAACGCGUGGGAAUCUGCCCUUUGCUUCGGAAUAACAGUUAGAAAUGACUGCUAAUACCGGAUGAUGUCUUCGGACCAAAGAUUUAUCGGCAAAGGAUGAGCCCGCGUAGGAUUAGGUAGUUGGUGGGGUAAAGGCCUACCAAGCCGACGAUCCUUAGCUGGUCUGAGAGGAUGAUCAGCCACACUGGGACUGAGACACGGCCCAGACUCCUACGGGAGGCAGCAGUGGGGAAUCUUAGACAAUGGGCGCAAGCCUGAUCUAGCCAUGCCGCGUGAGUGAUGAAGGCCUUAGGGUUGGUAAAGCUCUUUUACCCGAGAUGAUAAUGACAGUAUCGGGAG
rnacentral:rRNA from 1 species